UACGUAGGUGGCAAGCGUUGUCCGGAUUUACUGGGCGUAAAGGGCGUGCAGGCGGCUUGUUAAGUGCAGGGUGAAAGCUCCCGGCUCAACUGGGAGAGGUUCUUGCAUACUGGCGAGCUCGAGGGAGGCAGAGGAAAGUGGAAUUCCCGGUGUAGUGGUGAUAUGCGUAGAUAUCGGGAGGAACACCUGUGGCGAAGGCGGCUUUCUGGGCCUUACCUGACGCUGAGACGCGAAAGCGUGGGGAGCGAAUGGG
rnacentral:rRNA from 1 species